rnacentral:lncRNA from 1 species
CAUUAUCACUAAAUAACUGACAUUUUACUAGCAGAGUUAUGAGCACCUACAUCACUGGAAUUCUUUCCUCUUACUCUUUUUUCUUAAUACCACUGACCAACUAGUGGAAGAACUCCUCUUCUUUGUGAAGCCUAUGAGAAGAUGCCUUCACAUGGCAGAGAAAUUAGAGAACGUUUCCUCCUGCAAGCAGCAUAACUACAUGGACAAUGGGUUUCUCUCCCAGAGGUUUCUUCAUGCAAAGAAAACUGUGAAUACAUUUCUUGUUUGUGGCCAUGACUUCUAUAUUCAAGUACUUCCAAAGAUCCUCCCAGUUGCUGAGGACCAUUCUGCACUCCUGCAUUAAUAGCCCUCAGGCUGACCUGGGUCUGUGGCUGGCAGGGCUACCUUCCAAGACUGUCCACCUGGAGACAUGCAGUCAGAGGUCUGCCUUAAUGUGAGUAGUCCGGAGGAUAAUGUAUGUGCCCAAUGGAUUAAAGCAGAAAAACCAAAUGCCAUAGCAUUGCAUGAUGAGCUUUUAGUGUGCCCCAUUCUUUAUAAUCCCAUGAAGUCUAGGGUGAGCCAGGUUUUUGUGUACCUGGGAUGGAGGGCACCAGGUAAGGCAUCAGCAACUUAAUAAGGGAUGAUAAACCAUGUUGGUCACUGCUAAGUAUACU